rnacentral:rRNA from 1 species
CACGUAGGGCGCAAGCGUUGUCCGGAAUUAUUGGGCGUAAAGAGCUCGUAGGCGGUCUGUUGCGUCCGCUGUGAAAACUCGGGGCUUAACCCCGAGCCUGCAGUGGAUACGGGCAGACUAGAGGUAGGUAGGGGAGAAUGGAAUUCCCGGUGUAGCGGUGAAAUGUGCAGAUAUCGGGAGGAACACCGGUGGCGAAGGCGGUUCUCUGGGCCUUACCUGACGCUGAGGAGCGAAAGCGUGGGGAGCGAUCCGG